UCGAGCGGCAGCGACACAUUGAACCUUCGGGGGAUUUGUUGGGCCUUUUAGCGGCGGACGGGUGAGUAAUGCCUGGGAAAUUGCCCUUUUGUGGGGGAUAACCAUUGGAAACGAUGGCUAAUACCGCAUGAUAGCUUCGGCUCAAAGAGGGGGACCUUCGGGCCUCUCGCGUCAGGAUAUGCCCAGGUGGGAUUAGCUAGUUGGUGAGGUAAGGGCUCACCAAGGCGACGAUCCCUAGCUGGUCUGAGAGGAUGAUCAGCCACACUGGAACUGAGACACGGUCCAGACUCCUACGGGAGGCAGCAGUGGGGAAUAUUGCACAAUGGGCGCAAGCCUGAUGCAGCCAUGCCGCGUGUAUGAAGAAGGCCUUCGGGUUGUAAAGUACUUUCAGCAGUGAGGAAGGAGGUAUCGUUAAUAGCGGUAUCUUUUGACGUUAGCUGCAGAAGAAGCACCGGCUAACUCCGUGCCAGCAGCCGCGGUAAUACGGAGGGUGCGAGCGUUAAUCGGAAUUACUGGGCGUAAAGCGCAUGCAGGUGGUUUGUUAAGUCAGAUGUGAAAGCCCGGGGCUCAACCUCGGAAUUGCAUUUGAAACUGGCAGGCUAGAGUACUGUAGAGGGGGGUAGAAUUUCAGGUGUAGCGGUGAAAUGCGUAGAGAUCUGAAGGAAUACCGGUGGCGAAGGCGGCCCCCUGGACAGAUACUGACACUCAGAUGCGAAAGCGUGGGGAGCAAACAGGAUUAAAUACCCUGGUAGUCCACGCCGUAAACGAUGUCUACUUGGAGGUUGUGGCCUUGAGCCGUGGCUUUCGGAGCUAACGCGUUAAGUAGACCGCCUGGGGAGUACGGUCGCAA
rnacentral:rRNA from 1 species